GCUCUUCUGUGGGAUGUCUUUCUAUACGCUGUGGAUAUGUUUUAUCAUCACUGGUUAACACAGAAGCUGCUUUGGCUUAUGCCAAGGCAGAAUAUAGCCAGGCAGGAAAUCUAAACAGAGAUAUAGGGAGAAGAGGGCAGAGUCUGGGAGACACGAUCCAGCCACCCAAGGAACAAGAUGCCAGCAGACCAGUAAUGAACAAUGAACAGAUGGCUUGCUGCCCUUUCAUAUAAGAGAUCAAAAAGAAAAUGCAAAAAUUAAUACUAAAAACUGAUAAAGAAAAAUGUCAAACCUCAUGAAAAGACACAAGGAACAGAAUUUUUUCAGGUGUCCAGUAAAUGAUUCCAAAGACAGGAGAAGAUGGAAAUACAUUUAAAGCCUGGAGGGAAAAUCAUAAUCAACCAUAUUGUUGCAACGAGACAAACAGUCUCUAAAAUGGAUGGAGACAUAAGUGCAUUUCAAGAUAGGCAUGAAUGAACACAACUCACUUCAAUAAAGCAGCACAGCAGAUAUUAAAUAGGAGGGAAAAUAUACAGAGGAGAGUCAGAGGAAUUAUCCAUGGGAACAUGGCCACUUUGUUCUGCUGCACAGGUGAUCAGGUCUGGGUGAUCAGUGAGCCCUGCACAAGAGAAAGAGAUUCUUCAGAAAGCACCUGGAUUUCUAACACAGUACUGUGCUCAGUAGAUGAGGAGAAAAUGAAACACAGGAUUCUACAAAUGACCCCCCCCCCCCAAGCUGGAACGCAGGGUCAGAAUACUGAAAAUAUUUAGAAAGCAUUUUCAGUUAGUGUCACUUGAAUCCCACUUCCAAGCACAGCUCAGUCAAAUCUCAGGGGCAGAAAUGUAAACGAAUGACUGGGAUGAGAAUAUCAUACAUAGUGAGGUUCUGAAUUUAUCAUGGACCAAAAGUGAUGGAAGCCCUAUACCUCGGAAAAGGACUCACAAGAAGAGAACAUUUCAUGACAACUUUCUUUGUUCCUCUGAGGAUUUUGCUUUAUUCUGUGAGGCGUGAGACUUCUUCACACACAGCUCACACACAUGCAGACUGGUUUUCCUAGGAACCCUGAGGAGGAGCAAGGGAGACUGCAAACAAACUAUUCUCACCCACAGAAACCAAACUGCUGCAAUUCUGCAACAGCCACUCUGUGUACAAAGCCCUCUGAGCAGGGUCCGGGCAUUGCCCCUCCUCCCGGGAGAAGUCCACAGUCACACCACUGGCUAUCAACAGACCACAAAAUAAAAAACAACAGUUUGAAUCA